UAAAAAUUUAAAUUAUAAUAUUUAAGUAGUAUUAGUUAUGAUCUUGAAAUUUAAAGAAUUUGGCGGUAUUUUAGACUAUUCAGAGGAACCUGUUUUUUAAUCGAUAAUCCACGAUGUAUCUUACUUAAAUUUGUUUUUAUAGUUUAUAUAUCGUCGUUUAUUGAAUAUUUUAUAAAAAUAAUAAUUUUCUUAAUUUUAUAUAGGAAAAUAUAUCAGAUCAAGAUGUAGCUUAUAUUUAAGUAUAUAAUGGGUUACAUUUAUUAUAUUAUUGGAUUUAAGUUUGUAAAUUUAUUUAUUGAAAUUGGAUUUGAUAGUAAAUUUAUAAAGAUUAAUAAUUUGAUUAGAGCUCUAAAAUAUG
rnacentral:rRNA from 1 species